GUUCAUAAAACCUGAGAUUUGAGAUCUUGUAGCUGUUUAGAUAUCUGCACUUAAUUUUGUAUCUACUAUACUUGAUAUUCAGAAAGUAUUUAAUCAGUCAUUUUUAAUGUUAAAAGUAUCAAAACAGAUUGCACAACUGAGUAAUAAUAAAGACCAAUAAUGAUCAUAGAUCAUACAUGAUAAGGAGACUCUCCAAAGAAUAACUAUCAAUAAAAUGGACAAAGGUAUGGAAUAUUAUAUUAUAAUUGCAAAUAGAUAACUAUAUUAUUUUUAAUAGUAAGAUGGUAUUUUCAGUCAACCCUGUGUCUGCAAUGUAACUUUUAAUUUCUUUUAUGGUAUAUAGUACUGCAGGUAGUUAAUGACUCAGUGAGUGUUUGUGAAAUGAAUGUUACAGUCAGGCUGUUUGCAGACAUAAUUAGCUUAGGUGAAGGCAAUGUUUGGUGGCAUUUAACUUUGUGACUUAAUAAUUCAUUGUAUCAUCAAAUAAAUACCAUCUUUAUUAUAUGUUUGGGAUGAUUGUGAGGACAUUCAAGGGAGAGACUGAAACUUAGUUAAACCCAUUCUCUGAAGAUAGUACAAGUUUCAGUUUGGGGUCAUAGCAUUUCUUCUCAAAUACAAUAUGAUCUCCUAAAAAGAGAUAGACCACAUAUGCAUUUUUUUUUCCAGUUUAGUAUCAUUGCUCAUUAUCAGUUGGUGGGCAUGGGAGCAACUUAAUAAAGUUUGGGUAAUUUAGUUUUCAGUUUAAAUUCUCAACUGAACUGGCAAUUGGCCGAAAAUUCACAUCUGAAGAAGGAAGCACCCACUUGCAUUUUGUGAUCUGGUUACUGUCUACUUGAUGUAGGAAGGCACCAUCGAGAAUAAUGGAGUGACUAGCAUCAAAAGAAGAGCAAUGUAUUUCAGAAAUUAUGCAUGGAGAACUCCGAAUUCUUCAUUGAUAAAAAGUAUAUACAGGCAUUUUAAGGAUAAUCUUAAACUCCCCCACCACAAGAAGACUGUAGCGGUUCCUCCCGCUCCAAGAACCAUCUGCAGGUCUUUUUCAAUGUUCUUGGAGGUGGCUGAGAGCUUGCUCAGCUUGUGUCAGCCACCUUGUUCUCUGCAGAUGGGGAAUAAUCAAGCUUAUCUAAUCAACUAUUGAAUACGUGGAGAACUGUGACAACAUAAUAAUAAUAAGUAAACGCGUUUCCUACCGCUUGUAAUUCAGUCCAUGGAAAAUGUGUGCUGAAGAGUUGUGCAGGGGAGCA